rnacentral:lncRNA from 1 species
AUAUAAUAUAAGAUACUCUUUAUAACAAAUCUUGAUUUUUCCUAACUGCAUGACAGUACAACAUUCUUUCUUUUCUAAGAAACUAAAAUUUCAUUAUUUAACACCAUGGGGCUCACACGGACCCUUACCCUCUCAACCUUCCUUCACAUACUCUCUCCUAUUUUUACGUAGUCCUGUGAUGAAAUAUAUCCCAUGCACAUCUGUACUUUUUCUUUUUUAAGUUCUGCAUGCUGCAAUUAAAUAAAACUACUUCCAGAUUAAACCAAAUUAAGAAACCAAUCNGANUCUUAUCUUUCUUCUCUCUCCACNGAUCCCACCCAGAAUUAAACACUAAUUUUCUUUAAAUCCCAAACAAACUGUCAAACCACCAUCUGUCAUCAUUCAUGCACACAUAUAUUAUCUCACAUAUUGCUCCAUUUAAACACGGAAAAAGUCUCUUUAACAACUUUUUUUUCACAACGCAUACGUGACAGUCUAUGAUUGGUCCGNUUCAAAUAUUUUUUAAACAUAAAUUCAAACAUACCAAUAAAAUGAUGACACGUGUCCUGUUGUCAAAAAAUUGUUAAAAAAGAGUUGUUAAAAUAUCAUUGUCCUUUAACACAGACCCCUCCACAUAUCAGUCCAAAUUUGUUUUCUCCUCCAAGCAGACCAAACUGNAUUCUACUUUCCUCCCACUAUUUCUUCUUCCUCUGCCACCUAAUAAUCACCUCCAAAUUUCNUUCUCUUACUAUUCUGCACACACACAACUACAAANGCUACCCAUUCACUCCUCAUUCACAUAUUUCACGGUCACUUCCUCCCCNAACCUCUAAUCUCCUCUCUUCUUAUUCAAGCCUUAGUAGAAGAACCCUAAAAUACCCAUGUCAGUCUUCGGUGUGCACCCAAAACAUUGUUCGACUCUCUCCUCCAUUGUUAACCUCACUCUCACUCAACUCACACUUUCUUUUAUCUCCCUCCGAUCCACCUAGGGUAGAACCGUAGCACUCACAAGGCCCACUCAUAUGCAAAAACUCUCACCAUUCCAGUCAAAUUACACAAAAGAACAGCGUACUCAAAUCAUAUAUACAUCAUCUCCAAAAGAUAGAAACAGAAAGCAAUCGUUCACCCAAUAGAUAUACUAGCAACUCCCCUUACCUUGGAUUUCCUCACGGUUCCNAAUGAGAAAAAAAUGUUGACGAUCACCUUUCUUGUCACAACUAGACGUGUUGCUUGCUUCUCCUUCCCAAUCACAACUUUUCACUCACAAAAUAUUUCCUGAGGCGUGUAGAGUCACUGUCCUUAAGGACUUAUCCGCGGUGUAUUGCGCAAGUCCCCUAGGAUACAACAGGAACUUCUCAGAAAUUUUUGAGGAUCUC